GGCUGUUUGUGGGCAGAGCAGCUACCGAGACAAGGGGCCUCGGGUGUGUUUUCACGUGUUGUAACCUCAGCCUUUGCUGUCUCGUUUAAACCUCUGCUUUUGGAUCUUCAGAGAAACCUUUGCAGUGCAGUCCGAUGCCACUAACGUCACAAAUGUGGAGACAGCAGGAAUGGCAGCAAUGUGGGACUUUUCCUCUACAAUACACUGCAGUCCCCUUCCAGUUGGGCUGGUUUGCAGGAAUCAGGGAAGAGAGACAUAAACUAUGCAUAACAGUGGGAGAAGUGAGAGAAACUAAGCUGCAUCCUUCAAGACUAGAGAUGGAGAGGAGGAAGUUUGAGCCUUCUCGGUGAACUUAAGCUUUCCCUGCCACAGGGGAACCAGGGGAAAAAUAAUAGGAAAAUCAGCAGAUAACUUACAACUUAACUUGCCACAUAUUUUGCCAGCAGUUUUCAUUGCAGUAGCUGCUGUGGUAUGUAACCCAUAAGCGUUUUUCAGGAGAAUAGAGUUCCCCAGUUCCUUCCAAUGAUUUCACCUGGUAGGUGCUGUCCUUGACAUCCGCCCCACAAAAUGAUUCCUGCCAUCCAGGCCAAACUUUUCAGCUUGGCCGUUUGGAGCAGCAGGAGAGUUCCCAUUGAGGAUGGGAUGAAUGGAGUCGGUUCACACAUGUGAACCAAAUGCAAAUCCUUCGGUGGAAACUCAUGGUCAGCUUUUUCCACUGCUAUUUUCAGAACUUCCACAAAAGACCGUGCUGUGAUUAUAUGUAUUCAUGAUAUGUAUAUCAUGUAUUCAGCUCAAACAAUAUUUGAAUGAUGCAUUUAGAAUUCUUCCUAAAAAAGGACCAUGCUUCUGUAAACUGCAUCGUAUUUGUAAAAAGAGAGGAAAAAAAUCUAGCUUGCUUUUCCUUUUUUCCUCUCUUUCUUUUUAAUAUAUCAUUUCAUAAGGCUGUAAGAAUUGGUGUUAAUGCCGCAUUACACACAGACA